AACGAACGCUGGCGGCAUGCCUAACACAUGCAAGUCGAACGCUCACCUUCGGGUGGGAGUGGCGCACGGGUGCGUAAGGCGUGGGAAUAUGCGCUUGGGUUCGGGAUAACAGGUGGAAACGACUGCUAAUACCGGAUGAUGACUUCGGUCCAAAGAUUUAUCGCCCAGGGAUGAGCCCGCGUAGGAUUAGAUUGUUGGUGAGGUAAGAGCUCACCAAGGCGACGAUCGUUAGCGGGUCUGAGAGGAUGAUCAGUCACACUGGGACUGAGACACGGCCCAGACGCCUACGGGAUGCAGCAGUGGGGAAUAUUGGACAAUGGGCAAAAGCCUGAUCCAGCAAUGCCGCGUGAGUGAUGAAGGCCUUAGGGUUGUAAAGCUCUUUUACCCGGGAUGAUAAUGACAGUACCGGGAGAAUAAGCCCCGGCUAACUCCGUGCCAGCCGCCGCGGUAAAAC
rnacentral:rRNA from 1 species